rnacentral:rRNA from 1 species
UACGGGGGGAGCAAGCGUUGUUCGGAUUUACUGGGCGUAAAGGGCGCGUAGGCGGCGCAACAAGUCACUUGUGAAAUCUCCGGGCUUAACCCGGAGCGGUCAAGUGAUACUGUCGUGCUAGAGUGCGGAAGGGGCUACUGGAAUUCUCGGUGUAGCGGUGAAAUGCGUAGAUAUCGAGAGGAACACCAAUGGGCGAAGGCAGCUCGCUGGGACGGUACUGACGCUGGAGAACGCGAAAGCGUGGGGAGCAAACAGG